CUACUAUCUAAGCCCAUUAUCCAAAACUCAUUAAAAACCAUUAACCCAUAAACCCAUAUACAUAAACCUAUAUACAUUUACCCAUGAACCCAUACACAUAACCUUAACCAAGUCCAUAAACUUUGAACCAAAACCAUGGACCAAGCCAUACACCAAAUCCCAUGGACCAUACCAUACACCAAAUCCACGAAUUAUGAAUCAAGUUCAUGAAUCAAAUCAAGUCCAUGAACCAUAAACCCAUCUAAGUUUAUGAACCAUAAUCCCAUAUACCCAAUACCAUAAACCUUGUGAACCAAACCCAAAUAAAUCGACCGAAACGUCAUUAAACUAAUCCACCAAAUCAAUCGACCGAAACGUCGUUAAACUAAACCUAAAUUCGAUAUCGACCGAAAUGUCGUUAAACUAAACCUAAAUUCGAUAUCGACCGAAACGUCGUUAAACUAAUCCACCAAAUCCGAUAUUGACCAAAAUGUCGUUAAACUAAACUCAAGUUCAAUUUUCACGAACAUCCCAAUUCCCAAAAUAUUCGAUUCUCUAGCAUAUAAAACUAGAGUCAAAUCACAAUCAUGUUCAAACUUGAUCAAAUUCUAAAUCUAUAUUUAGAAUUGAUCAAACCAUCUGAUCAAAUUAAUUUGUUGGAUUCCAAUACAUACACUUGGAGUUUAAUUUAAAUCAAAUCUGACUAAUCCUAAUACAUAUAAUUAGGAUUUAGUCAAUA
rnacentral:lncRNA from 1 species